GACGAACGCUGGCGGCGUGCCUAAUACAUGCAAGUCGAACGCAGUGGGGACGGGUGAGUAACACGUGGGUAACCUCCCAUCAGAGGGGAUAACACUUGGAAACAGGUGCAAAAACGAGACUGAUGGAUGGACCCGCGGUGCAUUAGCUAGUUGGUGGGGUAACGGCUCACCAAGGCCACGAUGCCUAGCCGACCUGGGAGGUUGACCGGCCACACUGGGACUGAGACACGGCCCAGCCUCCUACGGGAGGCAGCAGUAGGGAAGCUUCGGCAAUGGACGAAAGUCUGACCGAGCAACGCCGCGUGAGUGAAGAAGGUUUUCGGAUCGUAAAACUCUGUUGUUAGAGAAGCGGUAUCUACCCAGAAAGCCACGGCUAACUACGUGCCAGCAGCCGCGGUAAUUC
rnacentral:rRNA from 1 species